GCGCCCGCCGCGCGCGGCGGGCUACGGGAGGCAGCAGUGGGGAAUCUUCCGCAAUGGACGAAAGUCUGACGGAGCAACGCCGCGUGAGUGAAGAAGUAUUUCGGUAUGUAAAACUCUAUCAGCAGGGAAGAUAGUGACGGUACCUGACUAAGAAGCACCGGCUAAAUACGUGCCAGCAGCCGCGGUAAUA
rnacentral:rRNA from 1 species